CCGAUUCACAGACAUGGAAGCCAUUGGACAUUGCUGGUGUUGGAUGUACAAGCCAAACGAAUGCGCUUCUAUGACCCCUUGAACCGGAGAUUAGACGAAGAAGUGGUCAACACAACAAGGGAGUACAUGGAAUACAGACUUCAGAA